UACGGAGGGUGCAAGCGUUAUCCGGAUUCACUGGGUUAAGGUGCGUAGGUGGGAAUGUAAGUCAGUGGUGAAAUCUCCGUGCUUAACAUGGAAACUGCCAUUGAUACUAUGUUUCUUGAAUUCUUCCGGAGGUCAGCGGAAUAUGUCAUGUAGCGGUGAAAUGCUUAGAUAUGACAUAGAACACCAAUUGCGAAGGCAGCUGACUACAGGGGCAUUGACACUGAGGCACGAAAGCGUGGGGAUCAAACAGGA
rnacentral:rRNA from 1 species